UACAGAGGGUGCGAGCGUUAAUCGGAAUUACUGGGCGUAAAGCGUGCGUAGACGGUUAUGUAAGUCGGGUGUGAAAGCCCCGGGCUCAACCUGGGAAUUGCAUUCGAGACUGCAUAGCUAGGGUGCGGAAGAGGGAAGCGGAAUUUCCGGUGUAGCGGUGAAAUGCGUAGAUAUCGGAAGGAACACCAGUGGCGAAAGCGGCUUCCUGGACCAAUAUUGACACUCAAGUGCGAAAGCGUGGGGAGCAAACAGG
rnacentral:rRNA from 1 species